rnacentral:rRNA from 1 species
CACGGAGUUAGCCGGGGCUUCCUCCCGAGGCACCGUCACUUGCUUCGUCCCUCGGGACAGGAGUUUACGAUCCGAAAACCUUCUUCCUCCACGCGGCGUUGCUGGGUCAGGGUUUCCCCCAUUGCCCAAAAUU